AGGACCCGGAGAUCACGACCUGAGCUGAAGGCAGACGCUUAACUGGCUGAGCCACUCAGAUAAUACUCUGUAGAAUCAGCUAUGUUGUCACAAAUGCGUCCUCACUCUUCGUGCAGUCAGGGAGCUCGAGUGCACCGUUCUAAGGCCAGCUCAGCAAGAUUCGUAAAUUUUUCUAGCAGCCUUACUCCUCAAGACAGCUCCGGUCGGGCGAGGGUGCAAAGCAGUCGGAUCCCCUAAACCGGGAGGCGGCUGCAGAAGAGGAACCCUAAGGCGUGAAGCAGGGGAAGGGGGCGGGGCACCCCAGGGCAGCCUCAAGUUUGCAGGGAGGCGGGGCAGCUCCGGAGAGCCUCUCCCGCGGAGCCCGGCGCGGCCGGGCAGUUACACCGCGCGGGGAGGUGGACGCGGGGGGCGAGCGAGCGUGGGGCGGGAGGUGGCGCCUUUGUGCCCCGUUUGCCCUCGGGGGCUUGGAGAGAGUCCUGCAGAAGCGCACGCUGCACCUGCCCAGGGCAGACCCAGCUAACGCCCAGCGGACUCCUUCCAGACGCCGCGCGCGGGGAGCGUCUCCGCAGAGCCCGGACUCGCGGCGGGCGGGGGGCCCUCCCCGGAGAGUCGUACGUGACCCCCGUGCUGCGCAGCCGCGCCCAGCG